CAAAGGCCUCUGGCCUGAAACUCCAGCCCUGCGAGAAGGUUUCCUCACAGACAGAGGGAUUGGCCCUGCUGAUCCAACAGCAGGAUCCAGCUUAUAGGCUUCAAAUUCUUUGCGGCAUGGGUUAUCUUUUCAUUUUGGGGCUGGUCAAAUAUUAACGGAAGAGCUGUCCAUUGAAAAAGGCCAUUUUGUCAAAAAAAAAUCCAAGCUUUCUAACAAAUUUUGAAUUACCAGCAUUUUCCUGCAGAAUGGAAAUUCUGGCUGUAGCACAAAUGCAGUUGGCAAGUCUGUGACCUAUUUUAUCCAAAUAUAUAACCU